rnacentral:rRNA from 1 species
AUUGAACGCUGGCGGCAGGCCUAACACAUGCAAGUCGAACGAGUGGCGGACGGGUGAGUAAUGUCUGGGAAACUGCCCGAUGGAGGGGGAUAACUACUGGAAACGGUAGCUAAUACCGCAUACCAUCGGAUGUGCCCAGAUGGGAUUAGCUGGUAGGUGGGGUAACGGCUCACCUAGGCGACGAUCCCUAGCUGGGCUGAGAGGAUGACCAGCCACCCUGAAACUGAGCCACGGUCCAGACUCCUACGGGAGGCAGCAGUGGGGAAAAUUGAAAAGUGGGCGCAAGCCUGAUGCAGCCAUGCCGCGUGUAUGAAGAAGGCCUUCGGGUUGUAAAGUACGUUCAGCGAGGAGGCGUUACUCGCAGAAGAAGAACCGGCUAACUCCGUGCGAGCAGCCGCGGUAAUUC